rnacentral:rRNA from 1 species
UACGUAGGGGGCUAGCGUUGCUCGGAUUUACUGGGCGUAAAGCGCAUGUAGGCGGCCUCUUAAGUCGGGGGUGAAAUCUCGAGGCUCAACCGCGAAGUUGCAUCAGAUACUGGCGGGCUCGAGGAGAAGAGAGGCGAUCGGAAUUCCCGGUGUAGAGGUGAAAUUCAUUGAUAUUCGGAGGAACACCAGUGGCGAAGGCGGAUCUCUGGCUUCUUGCUGACGCUGAGAUGCGACAGCGGGGGGAGCGAACGGG